rnacentral:lncRNA from 1 species
AUGCUGAGUUAAUUCUCAUGCUUGUGGGCGUAACAGUCCUGUUCAUAUCAGUCUCCCUGAAUGUAUUCCAAUACAGGAGUAGUAAGCAGAAGGAGGCUCCUCCAAAACCAGAGAAUGCUGACUGGCAGGGAAUAUGGAGAGGUUUAGGAAAAAUCUUAGAAGCAUGGGGACCCGCAAUGUCAUGGGAUCUCACUCUUGAACACCUGUGGGAUCCCCAGAAACUUAGCCAGUAUUUGAGACAGGGACAGUGCGGCUUACGUAAAUCUAAGGAGGUACAACUUAUUUGGGGUUUGGCUUGUGCUUACCGUGCCCUAUAUAAUACUGUUUUGGAGAGAGAGAGUUUCCAAGCUGAGGUUCAAGCCAAAGGGGAGAAUAUCCAAGUCAAAUCUGAUCAAUUACAGGAGACACCAGUAACAAUAUCAGUUACCCCUGUGGAGGGCAAGAAAUGGGAACGAGUGUCCUCACGUCUAGAACGGAAAAAAGAAGAGGAGGAGGAGGAGGUGGAGGAAGAUCCAGGUGAGGGGCCCUCCUCGAAACCACCAUCAUCGGGGAAGGCAAAAGGAAAAACUAAGAGACGCGCAGAAGAGAGUGAUGAAGAGGAAGUUUCUAUUACUACUCGUCGGCCUCUGAAGAUGACUGAAAUCCAAGGCUCAAGAAAGGAGUUUACAUGGCGCUCAAAUGAAACUCUUGUUUCCUGGUUAGUUCGCUGUUGGGACGGCGGGGCCAGUAGCUUGUCUCUAGAUGGUAACAAAGCGCACCAACUAGGAGCCAUUGCCAGAGAUCCAGCUAUUGACAGAGGAAUUAGUCGAUGUUUGGAUGGGGCUGCCUCCCUCUGGGAAAGAAUGUUAAUAGCCGUGAAGGAAAGGUACUCCUUCAAAGACGGCUUGAAGCCUGUGAUGAAAAGGUGGGAUACAGUUGAAAAGGGUACCCAGUAUUUGAGGGAAAUAGCCAUGGUGGAAAUGUUGUAUGACCCUAACUUUGUUCCUAACGACCCACGCCAAGACCACGACCUUGAGAGAGUGAGGACGAUGCCUGAUAUGUGGCAGAAACUCACAACAACAGCAUCAGACAGAUACGCCGCUACCGUAAUGGCAGUAUUUGACAGAUACCAGGACCAACAGAGAAGCCCCUUAGUUUUUGAAUGGAUU